rnacentral:rRNA from 1 species
GACGAACGCUGGCGGCGUGCUUAACACAUGCAAGUCGAACGAAGUGGCGGACGGGUGAGUAACGCGUAAUCAACCUGCCCUUCAGAGGGGGACAACAGUUGGAAACGACUGCUAAUACCGCAUACUGAAGGAGGGGAUUGCGUCUGAUUAGCUAGUUGGGGGGGUAACGGCCCCCCAAGGCGAUGAUCAGUAGCCUGGCUGAGAGGAUGAACGGCCACAAUGGGACGGAGACAAGGCCCCGAAUCCUACGGGAGGCAGGAGUGGGGAAUCGUUCGCAAUGGACGAAAGUCUGAAGGAGGAACGCCGCGGGAGUGAAGACGGCCUUCGGGUUGUAAAGCUCUGUUAAUCGGGACGCGGUACCGGAAUAGAAAGCCACGGCUAACUACGUGCCAGCAGCCGCGGUAAUAC